GUAAGUAAGUGGGUAUCUGGCAGAUCUGAAAAGUAUGCAAACAUUAUAACUCAAAACUGUCCAACUGCUAUUGAUAUAUGAGGUCAAUAUGUUAAGUAGCACUGGAGAAAUAUGUGAUAAUCUUUUUUAUCUUUCAACAUAUUGAACUAAUUUUAAGUAUCAGCAAACAGAAAGUAGGUGGCUGACAUUUUAGAAUGUCACUAUCAAGGUG
rnacentral:lncRNA from 1 species